rnacentral:rRNA from 1 species
UGGUGGAGUGAUUUGUCUGGUUGAUUCCGUUAACGAACGAGACCUCGACCUGCUCACUAGUCUGGCCCAUCCUUCGGAUGGUUGUCCAGUUACUUCUUAGAGGGACUAUCGGUGCGUAGCCGAUGGAAGUUCGAGGCAAUAACA